AUUGAACGCUGGCGGCAGGCCUAACACAUGCAAGUCGAGCGGAUGAAGGGAGCUUGCUCCUGGAUUCAGCGGCGGACGGGUGAGUAAUGCCUAGGAAUCUGCCUGGUAGUGGGGGAUAACGUCCGGAAACGGGCGCUAAUACCGCAUACGUCCUGAGGGAGAAAGUGGGGGAUCUUCGGACCUCACGCUAUCAGAUGAGCCUAGGUCGGAUUAGCUAGUUGGUGGGGUAAAGGCCUACCAAGGCGACGAUCCGUAACUGGUCUGAGAGGAUGAUCAGUCACACGGGAACUGGAACACGGUCCAGACGCCUACGGGAGGCAGCAGUGGGGAAUAUUAGACAAUGGGCGAAAGCCUGAUACAGCCAUGCCGCGUGUGUGAAGAAGGUCUUCGGAUUGUAAAGCACUCUAAGUUGGGAGGAAGGGCAGUAAGUUAAUACCUUGCUGUUUUGACGUUACCAACAGAAUAAGCACCGGCUAACUUCGUG
rnacentral:rRNA from 1 species